rnacentral:rRNA from 1 species
GACGAACGCUGGCGGCGUGCUUAACACAUGCAAGUCGAACGAUGAAGGAGAGCUUGCUCUCCGGAUUAGUGGCGAACGGGUGAGUAACACGUGACUAACCUGCCCCUUUCUCUGGGAUAACGCUCCGAAAGGAGUGCUAAUACCGGGUACGAACUCUGAACAAAUAUUCGGAGCUGGAAAGUUUUUCGGAAAGGGAUGGAGUUGCGGCCUAUCAGCUUGUUGGUGAGGUAACGGUGCACCAAGGCGACGCCGGGUAGCCGGCAUGAGAGGGCGACCGGCCACACUGGGACUGAGUCACGGCCCAGAUUCCUACGGGAGGCAGCAGUGGGGAAUAUUGCACAAUGGGCGAAAGCCUGAUGCAGCGACGCCGCGUGAGGGAUGAAGGUCUUCGGAUUGUAAACCUCUUUCAGUAGGGACGAAGCGAAAGUGACGGUACCUAAAGAAGAAGCACCGGCUAACUACGUGCCAGCAGCCGCAGUAA